rnacentral:lncRNA from 1 species
UACUAAGAAAAAAAAAAGAAAAAAGAAAAAAGAGAAAAGACAGCACAAAGUUGUAACUGCCUUCUGGGUAACUGUGUUUUGGAUGGUGUCAUUUUUCUUAUGACAUAAACUCCCAAAUGGCACAGACGCUGUCUCUUAGAAUAAAUAGCAACUAGCAGUAGGUCAUGCCUCCUGUGGGUUUCUGAUAAGUAUUGUUUGGUUGUAUGCUGUUUAUCACAAAGAGAACAGAUACUAUUGUCAGACAGGCUCAUGAGGGGCUUUUUGCAAGAAGGAGAGAAGUCCCCUACAACUUUUACAAUUCUGUGUCCUGUCCUAACUAAUGAGAGAUGAAUCACCUGGGCUGACAGAGCAGGAGCCGGGGAUCUGCUCUCCCUUCACUGACCUCUCAGCAGAGAUGAUUCAACGUGCAGGUGUCGGGGCGCCGCUCAGGCUUGGCUCAGGAAGAAGCGUCUGGAAGAGUGCCACACCCAUGACACACAGCGGGUGAGGUCCGGAGAGGAUCACGCAGAGCCUGCCCUUGUUUGAGGUGCCGGACAGGAAAUGAGUAAAAGAGGAGGCCUGUAGAAGUGUGAAGAACGGCGACAUCUCAUGGGGCGGACUUGGCUUUUCAGCACUGAGAUGAGCUGCUCCUCGCACCCCC